GGGCUCACCGAUGGAGUGGCGGCGGGCGAAUCUUGCCUGCUGGCGGACGUGUGCGGUGCUCCGUGUUUUUUUUAAGUGUUUUUUUAUUCAGAAAGAAGGAAAAAAUUUAUUGUGGUCUUUCGAAAUAAAAUUUUAUUUAUCUAUCAUUUGCAUCUUAACGCUUCUCCACGUAUUCGUUGACAAACUUAUAGAAUAUCAUGUUUGCACAAGCUGAACUAACCUCCAAGUUUUUGAAAAGCCGCAUGAGCCGCCCAC
rnacentral:lncRNA from 1 species